UACCAGCUCUCCGAGUGGUAGGGAUGAUUAUUGGGCUUAAAGCGUCCGUAGCCGGCUUAGCAAGUCUCCUGUUAAAUUCAGCGACCUAAUCGUUGAGCCGCGGGAGAUACUACUAGGCUAGGAGGCGGGAGAGGCCGACGGUAUUCUCGGGGUAGGGGUGAAAUCCUAUAAUCCCGGGAGGACCACCAGUGGCGAAGGCUGUCGGCUAGAACGCGCUCGACGGUGAGGGACGAAAGCUGGGGGGAGCGAACCGGAUUAGAUACCCGGGUAGUCCCAGCUGUAAACGAUGCGGGCUAGGUGUUGGGGUGGCUACGAGCCACUUCAGUGCCGCAGGGAAGCCAUUAAGCCCGCCGCCUGGGGAGUACGGCCGCAAGGCUGAAACUUAAAGGAAUUGGCGGGGGAGCACCACAAGGCGUGAAGCUUGCGGUUC
rnacentral:rRNA from 1 species